AGAGUUUGAUCAUGGCUCAGGACGAACGCUGGCGGCGUGCUUAACACAUGCAAGUCGAACGGAGCACCCCUGAAGGAGUUUUCGGACAACGGAAGGGAAUGCUUAGUGGCGGACUGGUGAGUAACGCGUGAGGAACCUGCCUUUCGGAGGGGGACAACAGUUGGAAACGACUGCUAAUACCGCAUGAUAUAUUGAUGUCGCAUGGCAUUGAUAUCAAAGAUUUAUCGCCGAAAGAUGGCCUCGCGUCUGAUUAGCUAGUUGGUGAGGUAACGGCCCACCAAGGCGACGAUCAGUAGCCGGACUGAGAGGUUGGCCGGCCACAUUGGGACUGAGAUACGGCCCAAACUCCUACGGGAGGCAUCACUCCCCCAAUAUUGGGCAAUGGACGCAAGUCUGACCCAGCAACGCCGCGUGAAGGAAGAAGGCUUUCCGGUUGUAAAC
rnacentral:rRNA from 1 species